GACGAACGCUGGCGGCGUGCUUAACACAUGCAAGUCGAACGGAAAGGCCCUGCUUUUGUGGGGUGCUCGAGUGGCGAACGGGUGAGUAACACGUGAGUAACCUGCCCUUGACUUUGGGAUAACUUCAGGAAACUGGGGCUAAUACCGGAUAGGAGCUCCUGCUGCAUGGUGGGGGUUGGAAAGUUUCGGCGGUUGGGGAUGGACUCGCGGCUUAUCAGCUUGUUGGUGGGGUAGUUGCUUACCAAGGCUUUGACGGGUAGCCGGCCUGAGAGGGUGACCGGCCACAUUGGGACUGAGGUACGGCCCAGACUCCUACGGGAGGCAGCAGUGGGGAAUAUUGCACAAUGGGCGGAAGCCUGAUGCAGCAACGCCGCGUGCGGGAUGACGGCCUUCGGGUUGUAAACCGCUUUCGCCUGUGACGAAGCGUGAGUGACGGUAAUGGGUAAAGAAGCACCGGCUAACUACGUG
rnacentral:rRNA from 1 species